rnacentral:misc_RNA from 1 species
AUACCACUGCAGUUAAACAAAAUGAAAGUGAAUAUAGAAAAGCCACAUACUGUAGUUUUAUCUGAUCAUAAUCAAAGUAUAAAAACGUAAGUCGUGUGUACGUGUGUUUAAGCGACAAUUAAAGAGCCGUCUGCAUUACUUCCGGUUUAAUGUCAAAAUGACGAUGUUGAAUAAAAUCAGUUGAAAUUUGGUAUUAGUUGAGACAUGGAUGAAGAAGACGAUCCUUCUCAUCACAGUGAACUAAGCGAAGAACCAAGCUUCUAUCCAAAUUCGGAGACAUCUUCUUGUACAAGUAUUUCAAAUCCGCAUUAUGAUGGGCCAUUUCAGCUUCAAGAUCGAGAGGUGUCGUCCAGGGAAUUGGAAAAUGAAGCCAUCAGUUCCGAUAUUAACACUGAUGACCGUGACCAUGGACGAAAAUCUAAACCUGAACCCAAGUAUCGUGUGAAAACCCCAACAAGUCCUCCCAAAAACAAACGGAAGAAUGAAGUUGUUAUGGUCAUCUUUGACUUUAGUUACUUGCUCACGUGUGCCGGUAUUCUUCGUGUAUUACAAGUCAUCCUGUCAAUGAUGACACUGGUGUGCCUGGUAACGUCUGGUGGAUAUGAAGGUGGACUUCUCAACCUGCCCCUCAGCUGGCAUUUCCGUAUCAUGAUAUUCGUCCUCAUCCUAACCCUCCUCUUCAGCUUCCUCUCCAUCCUUGCCAACAUCACUAGCCUUGUCUUCGUCUUCCCUUUUGAGUGGACUUUCAUUGUUGGCUGUUGUGUAAUGGAGGCACCCGUAUGGAGGUCAAGCUGUUGAGUGGAUAGUUGAUCUCUGCCAGCUUAGCGGGCACCUGGACGGUCUUUGCCACCCAUGAGGGUAAGGCAGACAGCUGUUUAGAUACUGACAACUGGUUGGUGGCUGUACUUUAAAUCCUGUCCGCUGGCCGGCUGGCCGUAGUGCUUGGUGGUAGGUGGCUGACACGAGUCCGACAUGGACGGUCUCCCAUGCAGCCUCUUAGUUGGGGGAUUCUUCUUGCACCUGUCUGGAAUCAAAUCUUUUCAGCAGUUCUACCUCCAGCAAUAAUUUGCUCCAGCAAGGUGAAAGGAAACUCCAGAUGUGCCAGCAGCACAGAUGACUGUUGAGAGUCGGGCGGUUGUUCAGGUGGAGGGGACUUGAUACUGUAUUCAGUAUUUGCCUUUCUAUACCUGGUGGGAACAUCCCUUGUUGCUAGUGCUUUUGACUUCUAUAUCAAGAUGCAGACCAAUGUAUCCCAAGAAACCAUUCAUCAACUGGUUGUGUGUGUGG